AUACGGAGGGUGCAAGCGUUACUCGGAAUCACUUGGCGUAAAGGACGCGUAGGCGGGAUGCCAAGUCUGAUGUGAAAUCCUAUGGCUCAACCAUAGAACUGCAUUGGAAACUGGUAACCUAGAGUAUGGGAGGGGGAGAUGGAAUUAGUGGUGUAGGGGUAAAAUCCGUAGAUAUCACUAGGAAUACCUAAAGCGAAGGCGAUCUCCUGGAACAAUACUGACGCUAAGGCGUGAAAGCGUGGGGAGCAAACGGGAUUAGAAACCCUAGUAGUCC
rnacentral:rRNA from 1 species